rnacentral:rRNA from 1 species
AGAGUUUGAUCCUGGCUCAGAUUGAACGCUGGCGGCAUGCCUUACACAUGCAAGUCGAACGGCAGCAUAGGAGCUUGCUCCUGAUGGCGAGUGGCGAACGGGUGAGUAAUAUAUCGGAACGUGCCCUAGAGUGGGGGAUAACUAGUCGAAAGACUAGCUAAUACCGCAUACGAUCUACGGGUGAAAGUGGGGGAUCGCAAGACCUCAUGCUCCUGGAGCGGCCGAUAUCUGAUUAGCUAGUUGGUGGGGUAAAAGCCUACCAAGGCAACGAUCAGUAGCUGGUCUGAGAGGACGACCAGCCACACUGGGACUGAGACACGGCCCAGACUCCUACGGGAGGCAGCAGUGGGGAAUUUUGGACAAUGGGGGCAACCCUGAUCCAGCAAUGCCGCGUGAGUGAAGAAGGCCUUCGGGUUGUAAAGCUCUUUUGUCAGGGAAGAAACGGUAGUAGCGAAUAACUAUUACUAAUGACGGUACCUGAAGAAUAAGCACCGGCUAACUACGUGCCAGCAGCCGCGGUAAU